rnacentral:lncRNA from 1 species
CUCGCCGCCCACCCUUGCCCUCAGCCUAGCGCCCCGUGGACCCUCCACCCCAAAUCGAAGCUGGACACCCGGGGCGGGGGCUGGAGGACCUUUGGAGCUUAGCACCCCAACCCCCACGUUUCACCCGUGUCCCAGAGGGGUUUCACAAAGUCUGUUUCUUGCAAGACAUCGUGCUAAACAAGAAAGCCAAGAGAUGACGGUGGCCUGUCUGUCUUGUCAAAGCCAGGAGAAGCUCCUGAACCUGCAGCAGUUGCCUGGGUGGUGUGCGCCGCUGCUCUGCAAGACCAGUGUGCAGCCACUGUUGAUUGAGUUGAGUCACCAAGCACAGCAUGGGAUUUGAUUAGGGCCGGAGACCACAGCAGUUGGCUUCACUGGAUCCCUUUAUCCCCGAAAGCUCAGUCAGUGGUCUGCAUGAGUGUAACUAAAAGAAAUCUAUCUGUGACAGCUUCUAAAAAUCAGACAAGUUCUGCUUCAGAGACACAGAUUGCUACCCCUCUGAGCACUCAAGCUCCUCCUGCAUGUUAUGUGUGCUGUGUCUGGAAUCGCACUUGCCUACGAGUUUAAUGGUUUUAGUGACUACAGAGAACAAAGACUCUUGGAGGUGAACUCGAUCAAGUCAUUCUCAGAUGAUCCUCUCAUGAGGUCCCUUGUGCUCACAGAGGGGUGGCUGUAUAUGACAGAUGUGCAGCCAUUCUUAUUCUGCAAAGACCCCCAGAGAAGCCAACGUAAUGACUUCAGGAGACAUUUCAAAGUGCUAAAGCUCUCUUCCUCUCCUUCCUUAUGUGUAACUGGGAAGGUGUAACUCUAUGUGUAAUUUGAGAAUUAGUGUUUGCUUCAGAGAAAGUUGUGUGUGUGUGUGUGUGUGUGUGUGCAUACAUAUGUGGUACUGCCCCCAUGGACUGAUGUCAGCGAUAGAAGAUGGGUCUGGAGCCUUGGCACCAUCAUAAUCCCAUUCCAAGAGAGUCCCAAGUUGAGCUCUAUCCUUGGGAUAACCAAUUUCCUUUCAUUAAGCUACCUAACGAACCUUGAGGGUGAGGACCAGUAUGAGCAUCUGGCUAGUCUUGACCUUAAGGUUGACUCAAGUUCAAGAAAUGCACUCAACAGGAUGGGCAAUCGAUGGAUGGGAACAUUUUAUGUACUUAUUAAGUAAUUCCCUCUUCAUAGGGAUACUAUUCUCCAAGAGUUUAGAAGAAAUGCAUGACUGGAGAGUUAGACAAGAAUUUUUGGAGUGAAGGACUCUUCUGUUGAGAACUUCCCACAACAGGGGUGUGAUAGGCCAAGCUCAGGUCCUUCCUUGUGAAUUCUAGGAAAAGUCGUGCCUGGGAUUUUCUCCUCCCUUUCUCCUCAUGUGUAUGAAGGCAAGUCAAUGAAGAAAGCAUAGCCCUGUCAACAAAUGGUCAUGGAAUAAUUGAACAUCUGUAUGUUAAAAAUAAAAGCCUUGAUCUAUAUCUUGUACUACGUACAAAAAUUAAAUAAAAAUGGGUUACAUAUUUAACAAUAAAACCCACUUUACCCCAAGAUGUAGUAAUCCCAUUACUAUUGCUUACUCAGAGGAUAUGAGAACUUAUGUUUAUACAAGAAUCUGUAUUUGGAAUUUUUUGAGCAACUUUAUUUAUAAAAUCCCAAAUUAGGAACAAUCCAAAUGUUCAUCAAUAGCGGAUGAGACAACUCUUGUCAUCUGUACCAUAGAAUACUAAUUAGCCAUGUAACAAAAUCACCUGUGGUACGUGGACCACCAGGGAUGAAUCUCAAAUGCAUAUGCCAAGCGAGAGGUACAAGUCUGGAAUGGCUACAUACUGUACAAUUCCAUUUAUGUGGCACUCUCAGAAAAGGGGACUCCAGGGGACCAGGAAGG